UUAUAUGGGAAAGGGGUGAGUCUUGCCUCCAUCCACUCACACAAACCCUAGCCGUCCAUCAAGAGACCUCUUUGGCAACUUCCUUAAUUCAAGGAAAGUUGACUCAUCCCAUACCAAUCCCUUGAUUCUAGGAACUUCCCUAGAAUCACUCAAUCCCUCCAAUCACUCAUCCAAUUCCUUAAAUCUCUCAACUCCUUCCAUAGACCUAGUCAACCAAUGACUCCAUCCUCUUGCCAUAUUCAAAUCUAAAUCCUAUCUUCCUUAUCUUAUCCUAACCAAUCCCUAAA